AUUGAACGCUGGCGGCGUGCUUUACACAUGCAAGUCGAACGGUAACAGGGAGCUUGCUCCGCUGACGAGUGGCGAACGGGUGAGUAAUGCAUCGGAACGUACCGUGUAAUGGGGGAUAACGUAGCGAAAGUUACGCUAAUACCGCAUACGCCCUGAGGGGGAAAGUGGGGGACCGCAAGGCCUCACGUUAUACGAGCGGCCGAUGUCGGAUUAGCUAGUUGGGGGGGUAAAGGCCUACCAAGGCGACGAUCCGUAGCGGGUCUGAGAGGAUGAUCCGCCACACUGGGACUGAGACACGGCCCAGACUCCUACGGGAGGCAGCAGUGGGGAAUUUUGGACAAUGGGGGCAACCCUGAUCCAGCCAUGCCGCGUGAGUGAAGAAGGCCUUCGGGUUGUAAAGCUCUUUCAGGUGGAAAGAAAUCUCUUGGGCAAAUACCCUGGGAGGAUGACGGUACCAUCAGAAGAAGCACCGGCUAACUACGUGCCAGCAGCCGCCGUAAAAC
rnacentral:rRNA from 1 species